rnacentral:rRNA from 1 species
ACGACGCUGGCGGCGUGCCUAACACAUGCAAGUCGAGCGGGGAUUGUGGAGAGCUUGCUCAAAGCAAUUCUAGCGGCGGACGGGUGAGUAACGCGUGAGCAACCUGCCUUUCACGAGGGGAUAACGCAUCGAAAGAUGUGCUAAUACCGCGUAAGACCACGGUGUCGCAUGACACAGGGGUCAAAGGAGCAAUCCGGUUUGAGAUGGGCUCGCGUCCGAUUAGCUAGUUGGUGAGAUAACAGCCCACCAAGGCGACGAUCGGUAGCCGACCUGAGAGGGUGAUCGGCCACAUUGGAACUGAGAUACGGUCCAGACUCCUACGGGAGGCAGCAGUGGGGAAUAUUGGGCAAUGGGCGAAAGCCUGACCCAGCAACGCCGCGUGAGGGAAGAAGGGUUUCGGAUCGUAAAGCUCUGUUGAGAGGGACGAGAGGCAAGGCUAGGAAAUGAGCUUUGUAGGACGGUACCUUUCGAGGAAGCCACGGCUAACUACGUG